AUCGUCCCAGUUUCCUUGUAGUAUCUGUUCUGAUUAGUUUAAUAUCCGAUACGUUCUCUAUAUGAUGACUUCAUACUUCUUAUUAAACAGAUUUUUAGAGCUGGGUGUUGGAAAAGGGGCUUUGCUUCGUCCAAUCCAUGCAUCGACCCGGUAUUGUAGUGCUUCCAGGCCUGGAAGUGGCAGUG